rnacentral:rRNA from 1 species
CCUACGGGCGGCAGCAGUGAGGAAUAUUGGUCAAUGGACGAGAGUCUGAACCAGCCAAGUAGCGUGAAGGAUGACUGCCCUAUGGGUUGUAAACUUCUUUUAUAAAGGAAUAAAACGAGGCACGUGUGCCUUUUUGCAUGUACUUUAUGAAUAAGGAUCGGCUAACUCCGUGCCAGCAGCCGCGGUAAUACGGAGGAUCCGAGCGUUAUCCGGAUUUAUUGGGUUUAAAGGGAGCGUAGAUGGGUUGUUAAGUCAGUUGUGAAAGUUUGCGGCUCAACCGUAAAAUUGCAAUUGAUACUGGUAGUCUUGAGUACAGUUGAGGUAGGCGACAUUCGUAGUGUAGCGGUUAAAUGCUUAGAUCUCCCGAAGAACCCCGCUUGCGACGGCAGCUUACUAAACUGUGACUGACAUUGAUGCUCGAAAGUGUGGGUAUCAAACAGGAUUAGAUACCCUAGUAGUC